rnacentral:rRNA from 1 species
GAUAAACGCUGGCGGCGCACAUAAGACAUGCAAGUCGAACGGACUUAACCGUUAGUUUACUAAUGGAGCGGUUAGUGGCGGACUGGUGAGUAACGCGUAAGCAACCUGCCUAUCAGAGGGGAACAACAGUUAGAAAUGACUGCUAAUACCGCAUAUGCCUUAGCAACACAUGUUGCAAAAGGGAAAGGAGCAAUCCACUGAUAGAUGGGCUUGCGUCUGAUUAGAUAGUUGGUGGGGUAACGGCCUACCAAGUCGACGAUCAGUAGCCGGACUGAGAGGUUGAACGGCCACAUUGGGACUGAGAUACGGCCCAGACUCCUACGGGAGGCAGCAGUCGGGAAUAUUGCGCAAUGGAGGAAACUCUGACGCAGUGACGCCGCGUGCAGGAAGAAGGUUUUCGGAUUGUAAACUGCUUUAGACAGGGAAGAAUAAAGACAGUACCUGUAGAAUAAGCUCCGGCUAACUACGUGCCAGCCGCCGCGGUAA